rnacentral:rRNA from 1 species
GACGAACCGUGCGAACGUUGUUCGGAUUCACUGGGCUUAAAGGGCGCGUAGGCGGCUUGCCAAGUCUGUGGUGAAAUCUUUCGGCUUAACCGGAAAAUGGCCGGAGAUACUGGCGAGCUCGAGGGAGGUAGGGGCAGUGGGAACUUCCAGUGGAGCGGUGAAAUGCGUUGAUAUUGGAAGGAACGCCGGUGGCGAAAGCGCACUGCUGGAUCUCUUUUGACGCUGAGGCGCGAAAGCUAGGGGAGCAAACGGG